AUUGAACGCUGGCGGCAGGCUUAACACAUGCAAGUCGAGCGGAGCGAGGGUGCUUGCACCUUAGCUUAGCGGCGGACGGGUGAGUAAUGCUUAGGAAUCUGCCUAUUAGUGGGGGACAACAUUCCGAAAGGAAUGCUAAUACCGCAUACGCCCUACGGGGGAAAGCAGGGGAUCUUCGGACCUUGCGCUAAUAGAGGAGCCUAAGUCGGAGUAGCUAGUUGGUGGGGUAAAGGCCUACCAAGGCGACGAUCUGGAGCGGGUCUGAGAGGAUGAUCCGCCACACUGGGACUGGGACACGGCCCAGACUCCUACGGGAGGCAGCAGUGGGGAAUAUUGGACAAUGGGCGGAAGCCUGAUCCAGCCAUGCCGCGUGUGUGAAGAAGGCCUUUUGGUUGUAAAGCACUUUAAGCGAGGAGGAGGCUCUUAAGGUUAAUACCCUUGAUGAGUGGACGUUACUCGCAGAAUAAGCACCGGCUAACUCUGUGCCAGCCGCCGCAGUAAGAC
rnacentral:rRNA from 1 species